AGCAGCCGCGGUAAUUCCAGCUCCAAUAGCGUAUAUUAAAGUUGUUGCAGUUAAAAAGCUCGUAGUUGAAUUUCGAGAUCAGUACGCUGGUCGUGCCUUUGGUAUGCACUGGUGUCACUGGUUUCUCCCUUCUGAAGAACUGUCAUGCCAUUCAGUUGGUGUGGCGGGGAAUCAGGACUGUUACUUUGAAAAAAUUAGAGUGUUUAAAGCAGGCUCGCGCUUGAAUACAUUAGCAUGGAAUAAUGAAAUAGGACGUUUGACCCUAUUUUGUUGGUUUCUAGGAUCGACGUAAUGAUUAAUAGGGAUAGUUGGGGGCAUUAGUAUUCAAUUGUCAGAGGUGAAAUUCUUGGAUUUAUUGAAGACUAACUACCGCGAAAGCAUUUGCCAAGGAUGUUUUCAUUAAUCAAGAACGAAAGUUAGGGGAUCGAAGACGAUCAGAUACCGUCGUAGUCUUAACCAUAAACUACUAGUCCGACCGUACGGAAGUCGGACGUGAUGUUAACGUUUUUAACUUUAGUAC
rnacentral:rRNA from 1 species